GGUAAAAUGAACAUAUAUAGCAGCAGCGUUGGUAAACCAAGGACGAAGAUAUAAGAGAGGACACUUCUCUCUAUUAGCUAGCUAAUAUAACAACCUAAAAAUAACCCCCAAAACCCCUAAAGCAGCCACUUUCCCAAAAAAAAACAUGGACUUUUGGUCCCGGUUGGUGCCACCAACCGGGACCAAAGGCCCCCUGACUGGGCUCGGCGCACAGAGUCACGUGGAGGUACAUUAGUCCCGGUUCUUGUUUGAACCGGGACUAAUGGGUGGAGGUAUUAGUAACGGCCCGUUAGUCCCGGUUCAUGAACCGGGACUAAAGGCCCUCACGAACCGGGACUAUUAGGUGUUUUUCUACUAGUGUAAGAUCCAUAUAUCAAAAGUGCACACGGUACAAAGAAGAACAAANNNNNNNNNNGACGCUAUGUCUUGGAGAGGAUGGGUUUUGAAGACCAUGAAAGUUUCGAAACCAAAAAAAUUAUCCUAAGUACCCAUCAUGGUGUGGAUUUUCAAGUAAAGCUGUACAAUGCUCAGAGUGUAACCCAUUUUGGUUGCAAAAAUUGGGAAGCACUUUGCAAGAUGUAUGGUUUUGAUGAGGGUAUGCUUGUUACCAUGGAUCUUGGUGAUCCUACAAUCGAGCAAGAGAGACCUACGAUUUUUGUCAAAGUGGAUACACCUCCAAUUCUUCCCCCACGUGAGGUUAACAUAGUUAUUAAGUAAUUUAUAUUGUUUAUUUCAAAAUAGUUGACAACUUAUUCUCCAUUGACAGCUUAUUUUCAUUCUUCAAAGAAUGUGCGAAAGAUGGUAGACAGAACCUACUACACCGAAGGCUCCGAACUAACUUAUCAGGAGAAAAAUCAUCUGGUCGCAUUUUGUACUGAUCUUGAGAAUUACAAUGUCUACAAUCGAACUCCUCAACAUUAUGGUCAAUACGUGCCACUAGUGCACGUGUUGAACUACGGUAACUACCAUGGAGAUACCCUGGUAAGAUUUUUUACUAUUACGACAUCCGUGCAUCUUUUUGCACACUUCUAAAACUAGUACAUCAUAUCAUUGCUAACUACGAAGUUAUUACUAUGUUUUUCAACAGAUAAUCCCAAAUGAUUGUGUGCCUCAUCUGAUGUAUACACACGGUAGCCUUCAAGUUUUGAACAUACAACCAGGUCUUCCUACGAAUCUGAACUGUCCAUACCGGGUUUCUAAUAGAAGUGGAGACAUGACAAUCAAAGAAUGGAAAAAAUGUAUGGACAGUCGGAAGGAGCUUCUUGGAAGCAACGUUCAGCGAAGGGCAAAAAUUGGAGACAGGAUGAUCGCCAUUCUUCAUAAUGGAGAGUCAGGGUCUAUAUUGUUUUAUGCUAUUUUACCUUAAGAGUGUUUAGGUCCUACCUGAUACUGAUGAUCAUGUGUUAAGAACAAUUAUGUAGGGUUGGGUUCGAUGACUAUGAGGAUGAUGAUCGUAUGAUUUAUUAUUAAUAACGAGUAGAAGUUGUAUGAUGAUGCAUGAUUAGUAGGACGAGUACUUGUUAUUAUAUAUGCUGAUGUAUGCGAGCAUGCAUGAGUUAUUAUAUCAGCGGGUAAAAUGAACAUAUAUAGCAGCAGCGUUGGUAAACCAAGGACGAAGAUAUAAGAGAGGACACUUCUCUCUAUUAGCUAGCUAAUAUAACAACCUAAAAAUAACCCCCAAAACCCCUAAAGCAGCCACUUUCCAAAAAAAAACAUGGACUUUUGGUCCCGGUUGGUGCCACCAACCGGGACCAAAGGCCCCCUAACUGGGCUCGGCGCACAGAGUCACGUGGAGGCACAUUAGUCCCGGUUCUUGUUUGAACCGGGACUAAUGGGUGGAGGUAUUAGUAACGGCCCGUUAGUCCCGGUUCAUGAACCGGGACUAAAGGCCCUCACGAACCGGGACUAUUAGGUGUUUUUCUACUAGUGUAAGAUCCAUAUAUCAAAAGUGCACAUGGUACAAAGAAGAACAAACUCAUGAGUCCUCUCAAAAGGGUGAAGGAACAACCAAACAUCAAUAUAACAGUGUGGCCUGCCAUGCAGAGCUGGCCGGACGUAGGUACUCCUCUCGCUGUCACGCAGUGAGAUAAUAUGAGAGCACUUAUUCAUAUAUAUGUAUAUGUAUGUGUAUGACCUCAACGUACUCAGCGUAGAUCGCUGGAGCUAUAUGCAGCCAUGAUGAGAAGAAGUGGUCGAUCA
rnacentral:lncRNA from 1 species